rnacentral:lncRNA from 1 species
CUCCCAAAAUCAAACCCAACCUUCCUUUUAUGGUCAUAAACCUUGUGUUUAAAUUUCAUAGAUUUCUAUUUACUUAUACUAAAGUUAUAGUGCGAAAACCAAAAAUAAUGUUUAUUUGGGCCCCUUUUUGGCCCCUAAUUCAUAAACUGUUGUGACCUCAACUCCAAAAAUCAAUCCCAACCUUCCUUUUGUGGUCAUAAACCUUGUGUUAAAAUUUCAUUGAUUUCUAUUUACUUAUAUACUAAAGUUAUUGUGCGAAAACCAAGAAUAAUGCUUAUUUGGGCCCUUUUUUGGCCCUUUAUUCCUAAACUGUUGGAACCAAAACUCCCAAAAUCAAUCCCAACCUUCCUUUUGUGGUCAUAAACCUUGUGUCAAAAUUUCAUAGAUUUCUAUUCACUUAAACUAAAGUUAUAGUGCGAAAACCAAGAAAAUGCUUAUUUGGGCCCUUUUUGGC